AGUGAACGCUGGCGGUAGGCCUAACACAUGCAAGUCGAACGGCAGCACGGUAAGAGCUUGCUCUUACGGGUGGCGAGUGGCGGACGGGUGAGGAAUACAUCGGAAUCUACUUUUUCGUGGGGGAUAACGUAGGGAAACUUACGCUAAUACCGCAUACGACCUACGGGUGAAAGCAGGGGAUCUUCGGAACUUGCGCGAUUGAAUGAGCCGAUGUCGGAUUAGCUAGUUGGCGGGGUAAAGGCCCACCAAGGCGACGAUCCGUAGCUGGUCUGAGAGGAUGAUCAGCCACACUGGAACUGAGACACGGUCCAGACUCCUACGGGAGGCAGCAGUGGGGAAUAUUGGACAAUGGGCGCAAGCCUGAUCCAGCCAUACCGCGUGGGUGAAGAAGGCCUUCGGGUUGUAAGGCCCUUUUGUUGGGAAAGAAAAGCAGCAGGUUAAUACCCCGCUGUUCUGACGGUACCCAAAGAAUAAGCACCGGCUAACUUCGUG
rnacentral:rRNA from 1 species